rnacentral:sRNA from 1 species
UUUGUUUUCGGCGCCCAGAUCAGCUUCUUCAUUUUGAGCGUAUCGGCCACGAUGAUUAUUCCUAAUUCACGCCGAACCGCUUACACGUCGCGGCUGCAUGGGCAUGUAGAUCCAUCUUACCAAGCAAACAAAGGGGGAACUGUUUGCGCCUCGCAGCGUUCGGCAA